AGACAGUGUGGAAAAUGAAGAGA
rnacentral:miRNA from 1 species